rnacentral:rRNA from 1 species
AUGACGAUCAGGGCGUCCCUCUACGUGGAUGACGUGGCUAUUUUUCUUGCUCCCAUCAAAGCCGAAGUCAAGUUCUUUGUGGACACGCUGGCCCACUUUGGAGAGAUUACAGGCCUGCAUACCAACUGCUCGAAAAGCCUAGUGGCCCCAAUCCGAUGUGACAACUUGGAUCUGAAUGAUAUCCUCCUCUUCUUCCCGGCCAACCGAUCAUCUUUCCCUAUGAAAUACCUGGGUCUGCCGUUGUCGAUCAAAAGAUUAAAUAGAGUCCACUUCCAACCCCUCGAGGAUAAGACUGCAGCUCAACUUACGCCUUGGAUGGGCAAACACGUCGCAUCGCCUGGAAGGGUUGUGCUUGUCAAGUCAGUUGUAACGGUGAUUGCUAUAUAUUACUUGACGGUGCUAAACCUCCCUGUAGAGGUCAUGAAAAAGAUCGACUCCCUGUGGCGUGCAUAUCUCUGGGCUGGUUGUGACAAGGUUUCUAGUGGAAAAUGCAAAAUCAACUGGGAGCAAGUGUGCAAAUCUAAAAUGCAUGGUGGCCUAGGUAUUCUCAACUUGGAAAAAUUUGUUACUGCCCUUCGCAUCCGGUGGUUGUGGGGAGCUUGGACGGAUCCAAGUAAGCCUUGGGUAAACUUGGGUAACCCGUGUGAUGACAAAGAUAAAGACAUAUUUGCUGCUGCCACCAAGGUUCUGAUUGGAGAUGGGAUAAGGGCUUCGUUUUGGGAGUCUGCUUGGCUGAAUGGUAUGAGACCCAAAGACAUCGCGCCAAAUAUUUUUGCGAUCUCUGCAAGAAAAAACUACAUUGUCUAG